rnacentral:rRNA from 1 species
CUCGUAGGCGGUUCGUCGCGUCCGGUGUGAAAGUCCAUCGCUUAACGGUGGAUCUGCGCCGGGUACGGGCGGGCUGGAGUGCGGUAGGGGAGACUGGAAUUCCCGGUGUAACGGUGGAAUGUGUAGAUAUCGGGAAGAACACCAAUGGCGAAGGCAGGUCUCUGGGCCGUUACUGACGCUGAGGUGCGAAAGCGUGGGGAGCAAACA